GCCUGUAUUGAUUCUGGAUUGCCUGGAUUCUGGUCAUUGGUACUGCAGGGAGAGGAAGCGAACGCCUUUCCCUGUAUUUGGAAGGUCCACUCCUGUCCUUGUCAAACCUUGGUGCUUUAGAACA
ensembl:snoRNA LOC120102609 small nucleolar RNA SNORA71